CAAUACCCGGUCGUUGUGAGUACCGCGGGCCAAUCCUGCAUCAAACUUUGGCACGGGACUGGGACGAGUACUGGUGGUCGUCGUUAAUUUUCUACAGUACUACUCAGUCCUGGUACUACUAGCGAGUAUUUAUCGCUUUUAUAUCGAGAAAGAAGGAUAAGGGGUCAAGUUUAGGUAUCGUAACCUAAUUGAGAUCCACUUAUACGAUCUAUAGAACCAGAGCGGCGGAACCCCGGAUCGAAGGCAGCCAUCGGAGGGUGGUCACGAUCUGUUGAAAGGCGCUGAUGCGCCGAACCUGUCGUUGGGCGACGUCCACGGCAACAUCGAAUUCCCCGCCGCCUCCAGCGCCACCAAGAUCCGCCGCUUGAUGUGUGCAUCUCGUGGCCGGCGUCGUCCUGCCGUCGCCGCCAUCGGGGACACAGCAGGUGGCGAGCUUCGACUGGUGAAGGACGCACCGAUGUGCAGGGAUGCGUGUGCCGGUGGACCUGGCACCGGCGGCUGCCAGCAAGGAGAGGGCAAUCAUCUUGUAUAGGCCCGAGGCUGAGCACAAUCUCCUACUCGGCCCGUUCCGGCUGAGUGUCCCUCUCCACGUCAGCAGUGGCGGAGCCAGGAAAAUGAAAUGAGGAGGGCCGAAAGCUAUUAAGCUUUGUUAGGGAAGGCCAACACAUCAAGGUACACCAUUUUAACAGCAGAUAAUUACUUGCUCACAUGCAUAUUAGGCUUAAAUGACGGAUGUUAGGGGGGCCAGGGCCCCUGCUGGUCCCCCCUGUCUCCGCCACUGCACGUCAGCGCCGACUGAUCGAUUGGCUCAGUGACAUCCCUGGGCAGAAUCUGAGCCUGGCCGCCUCGCCGAUCCGUCGUCGCCGUGCUUCAGAAGGAUUCGGGACUUCACCAAGGUCUACAAUUCUUGAGAGCUCACUCUUCUCAUCAUGAACGGAUGGUCCACCGUGAUAGAAGUAUCAGAAGGCAUUGUAGUUGGUGAGGAAGAAUGACCUGGAAGUAACAAAUAUUUUGGGACAUGGUAGACACUUUAACUUCUCUUGUUUUCUCAUUUCCAAUAAUAUAAGAGCAGUGUGACUUGUCUUGCCGUUUUAUUUCAACUAAUAAUAGCCACUUCGCUUUGGCGGUGGAAUUAAAGCAAGAGAUCUGUCAGGACUAGCAUUAAGUAAGGCUGAAUUGGUUUCUAAACUUCAAGCUUUUGAGCAAGCGAAACAAGUACUCGAAGAAAAGUUCAAUGGCGUGGUGCAAGAAGUGUCCGAAAUUAAGUGUCUUCUGUCUGGUUGAUCUCUAAGUGAUAGUUCUUGUGAAAACUAGUGAUCAAGACUGAUGGUUCUACAUGCUAUAUAGAAGCAUCAAGGUUCUUUGUAAUUGCCGAUGAGGAAUGAUAUCCAUUCAAAUAACGAUGAUGUCCCUCGAUUGAAGAUUAAUAAUUAUUAUCUUUUCUAGUUUCCUGUUUUCCAGUUAGAUAUGAGCAAGUACAUUGUUCAUAUAAGGAGUGCUUUUGACUCAAUUUCUUAAAUGAUAUUGUAAUUUCAGAAUUGUAUGUCGGCAUUUUGGUAUUUCUAUUAAUAAACGACGCUAUCAUCCUUUCAAUUCA